rnacentral:lncRNA from 1 species
CAGAUGCAGAGAUCCACAGUCAAACAUUAGAUGAAGCUCGGGAGUCUUGUGGAAGAUCUGGAGAGAGGAUUGAGUUCUCUGGAUUGUUUGGAACCAAACAGAGGAUUUCCCGAUGGGGAGUGGUGGAUAAGUCUUUGUGAACCUGUAAAAGAAAAGAUGGGAGAGAACAGGAUCCUGCUCAGAGUGACUACCCUGCAGGAAUGAGAGAGGUAGUCUGGAACUCACAGCUGCCCCUAUUGGUCUAAACCACUGUUUCUCAUGACCUCUGAAACACAGCUGAAUUCUGGGGACUCAUGGCUCUACAACAGCAAUUUUACUCUCAGAUGUCACUUGGCAGUACCUGGACGCAUUUGAAGUUGUCAUGUUGUUAAAAGGAGACAUUUGGAAACAUCUGUGGCUAUUCUGGUUGUCAUUUGACGAGGCUGGGGACUACUAUGCUGCCAGCUAAUGGAUGGAGCCCGGGGACGCUGCUGAACAUCUUAUAAGAAGCACAGCACACUCCAGACAAACCUCUGCACAUUAUCAGAGUUAAGAGACAGGUAGUAAGAUGUAGAAUAUUCAAAGGUCUCACAGCAGUUCACUGACUAAGGGAAAGAGCAGCCGAGGGGAAAUUGGCACUAAUAUGUAGAGUUAAGAGCCUUGAUUACAGUAAGCACAAGUUAUAGGGUGGCACAAGGGAGAAAUGCUCAGAUGGAAGUAUAAAAGAAGAUUGACAGAGAGAGGUUUGCAGGCGCUGAAAGUGCAAAGCUCACUCCCAAGGUUAACCUAAGUUUGCUGGAGCGACCAAAGAAAGAGUUCUGAAAUGAGGAAACUGAAGAGCUGUAGAGCCUGGCUGAGGAAGCUCUGACUCAUCAGGAUUCCUGGAGGAAGGAUAGCAGUGACCUUAGGUUCUGUAUUUCAAGUUUAUCCUUCAUUUACGAACAGUGGAGAAUCACUAUGAUGAUUAAGGUAGUAAGAAAAAUCAGAGGAACUCAUGGAAAGGUUACAGUCUACUGCAGAGACUCUGGAUUACAACAGGAAGACACGGAAUGCACCACUGGAGAUGAUGCUGUGGCAGCAGGCCAAGAAAUGGGAGGGGAGGUGAACCAUGGCAGAAAGAUUUGAGAUAGAGACAAAGAGAAAAAAAUGAAGAAGAUUUUAUAGACAGAAUCAGUGACCCUAAUGAGGAGCCUGCAGGUAGUGAAAGAAAUCAAAAAAGACAAGUCUUUUUCUUUGGAUCUGGGAACUUGUGCAGGAACCAUGAAACGUGAUGCAGACAAAGGAGCUUGGCUCCCUGGGAUAGUGGAUUCAAGAGAGUCCCUGAGCUUAAUGAACAUACUGAGUUUAUGGAAAGGGUGAGUCAUAUAAAUGGAGAUUUGGGGUAGCUUUUUGAUGAAUCUGGCACUCGGGGAACUGUCUUGGAUGCAAGACUUCUAGAGACUAGGAGGAGAUGAAAGCACAGCUUUGGAGGGGAUGUCAUCUGUUCACUCUGCAGCAAUGAAGGAAAGAAGGCACAGCAACAUGAGCGAAUGGUGGUGUUGAACCUAUAUGGUCCAUUCUGAUGGACCAGCCCUGAUAGAAGGGUUUCCAGAAAGAAAAGAUGUGUAAGCAACCGUGAUCAAAUUUUAGUUCUGAAUACAGAUGCAAAGUGAAAUGGAAGAGCUAGACCCAUGACUCUGACCUAGACAAGCUGGUUGAUUUAAGACUAAGCAGGAACAAUAACAGCCAAUAAGCAAGAUACAAAUCCAGGCCAAUCCAAAAAGCUAGUGCCUACACACACCAUGGGAUUCUAGUUACCAACUACUCCUGCAAUGACCAGUUGGGCUAAGGGUCUACCUCACUAGUAAUUCUUUCAGAGACUGUGUACAACUCUUUUAUGAAGGCAUGAAGAAACUUGGGGCUAGCCCAGGUCACUCAAUUACACUUGUCUCCAUGUUCCCUUUUCAGGCAGUGACCUAUUGAUUGCAGCUCAUUCUCCUUGUUCAGUCUAAUUUAGUGAUAUUGUUAUAGCUAUGCCUCUUGAUCUGUCUAGCAAUCUUGCCAAACUCCUAACCAUAAUAGGACAGUCAUCAUGAAUAGACCAAUUCCUGACAACUCUGCGGGGCUUCUUUCCUUCUGCUCUACAGACACAGUUUUCUGUUUCUUUACUGUAAGCUCUGCCACCCUAAACAACUGUAAAUUACAUGACAUGUGUUUUUCUUGAUCCUCCUGUUGCUUUGGAUACAAUAAGAAAUCAAUCAGUUUAUUAAAAGGAA